rnacentral:rRNA from 1 species
CCUUUAUUUUUCUAGGUUGACCUCGGAUCAGGUAGGGAUACCCGCUGAACUUAAGCAUAUCAAUAAGCGGAGGAAAAGAAACCAACAGGGAUUGCCCUAGUAACGGCGAGUGAAGCGGCAACAGCUCAAAUUUGAAAGCUAGCCUUCGGGUUCGCAUUGUAAUUUGUAGAGGAUGCUUUGGGUAAAACGCCAGUCUAAGUUCCUUGGAACAGGACGUCAUAGAGGGUGAGAAUCCCGUAUGUGACUGGAAAUGUUAACCUAUGUAAAGCUCCUUCGACGAGUCGAGUUGUUUGGGAAUGCAGCUCUAAAUGGGAGGUAAAUUUCUUCUAAAGCUAAAUAUUGGCGAGAGACCGAUAGCGCACAAGUAGAGUGAUCGAAAGAUGAAAAGCACUUUGGAAAGAGAGUUAAAAAGCACGUGAAAUUGUUGAAAGGGAAGCGCUUGCAAUCAGACUUGUUUAA